GCCUCCUUAGUGCAGUAGGCAGUGUAUCAGUCUCAUAAUCUGAAGGUCCAGAGUUCAAACCUCAGAGGGGGCA
rnacentral:tRNA from 1 species